GAAAUGCGAUAAGUAAUGUGAAUUGAAGAAUUCCGUGAAUCAUCGAAUCUUUGAACGCACAUUGCGCCCUCUGGCAUUCCGGGGGGCAUGCCUGUCCGAGCGUCAUUACGCACCCUCAAGCCCGGCUUGUGUGAUGGGCCCCGGCGUCUCGUUCGCGAGACGGGCCCGAAAGGCAGCGGCGGCGUCGACCCGAUGAGCCCGAGCGUAUGGGGACUUCUGUCACACGUUCGCGGUGCGGACCGGCGCCUGCUUGACUUUUCUGAUUAUCCAGGUUGUCCUCGGAUCAGGUAGGGAUACCCGCUGAACUUAAGC
rnacentral:misc_RNA from 1 species